UGGGUUUUUUUUUUAUUUUUUUAUUAAUUUAUGUAUUUUCAUAUUUUACUUUUAUAGUUAAAUAUGCGACAUUUGUCAAUAUGGAUUUGGAGUUCACACGUAAGGUCAGUCCAGAACAGGUUGUUUCAAGCUCAAGAUAUAUAUAUUUGUUGUUUCUUAUUUUCAUUCACUACUUAUUUUUUUUUAUAAAAUUCGGUCUUAUGAUUUACUUCUAUUAUAUUCACUAAUCAAUUGAU
rnacentral:lncRNA from 1 species